AGGGGAAUCGAAAGCCAAUAGGUUAGGUCUUUGGUUCCCUAACCUUAUACUGCAUCUUGGAAACUGAAACAAAGUGAAACAAGAAAAAAGAUUCCACUUACCUCGUCGGAGCAAAUGACAAAGACGACGACGAUGCGGUUGCACUUCCAUGGUUCAGUUUAUGCAAGGCUUGUAAGGCUUGUAGUUGGAAAUGCAAGGUGACCCAAUCAUGGCAUGGUGACCAAGUUCAAAGCAACAUGAAACCAAGGUAAGACCAUCAUGUGAAAAUGAACUUAUUGCUCAUGACAAUAAUGGAGGCUUGUGGAAUUAUGAAAAUGUAAUGAGAAUUAGGUUUAGGGAUGAAAAAAGUGUAAUGGUUCACUUUGGUGAACCGGUUGACCAAAAAGUCAACAGUUGUCCAAAAGUCAACUUUUGUAAAAAUGAAACUUUUGAGAUUUUUUUUUGUAAUGAACACUAUACAUGUUAAAUGAAUGAAUGGAUAUCCAAUUGUGAAUGA